rnacentral:sRNA from 1 species
ACCUGAGACUACCCUUCUGCGAUCACAGGAUUCCCGGUGGUGACGUGACCCCGGAAGUGGGGUGUGGAGCUCCGGUGCCGGUGCGGCGGGGGACUGCGGCGCCAGCCUCAGUUUAAACCCCCUCAGCAGUCUUUCUGUCGUUGCCCUCCACACUGCGAGACUCUGGAGGGCGAUCUGGAGGUCUGGAAGAUAACCGAUUCCUGGGACAUUUGGGGGUAGUCUCCAAUCUGUCCCUGGCUCAUCUUGUGACCCGAAGCCGGCGGCCUUGCCAGGAAUAUUCUAGAAUGAGUGCACAUAAAAAUACCUUCAAAUGGUAGCAGCAGCAGCAGCAGCAGCAAUGUUUCACUUCUUCAGAAAGCCUCCGGAAUCUAAAAAGCCCUCGGUACCAGAGACAGAAGCAGAUGGAUUCGUCCUUUUAGGACAGAGUUGCCAGCUGUCAUCCUCUCUGGGAGGGUACCGAUGCUCAAAAAAUGGCACUACCUUUCCUCUCAGCAGUAAAGUGCCAGUGUUUCUUUUACAGUUGCCAUGUGC